UCUCUCCAUUGAUUGACUUUCGUAUCUAUUUCCACGUAAAACAACAAAACGAUAGAAUUGAUAGUUCAGUCGGUGAUUCAGUUUGAAAGUGGAUUUUACCGACGGCAUCACAUCUCCACCGUAAGAGACACCAUCGAUGAUCUCGGUUCAUCAAUCCGAUCGCAAUUUUAUUUUGGGUGAGGUUUUGCUUGGUUUGGGAAAUCGAAGGAGGAAGGGGUUCUUUGUGGUGUGUUUGGGAAUUAGGAAGUUGUUGGUGAUCCGAUCUUAGCAAAGCUCAAAUCCAGGGCAAUCUCAAGGAGAGAGAUCCCACUAUUUUGUUGCCUAAUCAGUCUGAUGAUAUCUCUCAUUUAGCUCUUGUUUUAGCUCUCUCUCUAAUCACAAAAAAAAAAAAAUCUUACCUUUGAUUCAUUGUAAUUGACCAUCUUGAUUUUUGGAAAUUUCGAUGUUAAUGCUGAAUGUAAAGCAUACAUGGCAUGAGGACUACUCGAAUGAUGAUGAUAAGCGUAAGAAGACGAUCAAGGAGAGAUUGGGUAUAACCAAUGGCAACUUGAGAAGCUAUCCUGUUCUUGGUGGGAGACUUCAUUUUGUCAAGUUUGAGACUAACAAAAUUAAUGAGUGUUUGGAUUUUAUUCAUUCCAAGCAGCUUCAUCGUCGAGCUCAAGAUUACAUACCAUAAGAAACAUGGCACAGAUCGUGUAUGCUUUACUCAUCAUCCCAGCUCUCUAAUUUGCUCUUCUCGAUACAAUUUGGAGUCUAUUGGAGGUGAGUUCCUUCUUUUUAUUCUUUUUGCUUCAGAUUGGUUACUAUCUCACAAUCUUUCUUAGUCUUUCGGAUAUUUGCAUCAUUAAAUUGACAAGAACUGUUUGGUAAAUGUCACACUUACAAAUACAAAGAAAAAUAUUUUUAAGAAUCUCAAAUUUAAAAACCUUCAAUGGACCUAUGAAAUAUUAAAGUUUCUUAAAAAGUUCUUAAUUUCACUUUUAUUCAAAAUUAAGAAUAAAAUAUGUUUUAAGAUACUUUCAUUACAUUUUUUGAUGGAGAUACUCUUGGAGACAUGGUUAAAGAUUAACCGAAAUGGCUGUGCUCUAAAGACGAAAGUUGGGGAAUGGAAAUUGUAAAAUAAUAUUGUGUUAAUAAAAUAUUCCCCAUACAUGAUCUAAAGAAGUCACAGUCGUCACCUGGAAGCAACAGAACAAUGUUUACCACAACUCACAGUCAGUCUCUCCUUCGAUCAUCUUCAAGAAGAUUGACCGUGAUAUCCGCAACACCAUAACCUUGAGGAAACAUCUGAAGCGGUUUCGCAACCUCAUGCUCUUGUGGAUACGAUGAGUUUCGUUUUCCGAACUCAGAAUAUAUUGUAAUCUUUUUUUUUGCUAAGAAUGUUAAUAUCAAUUAAAAUGAAAAGUUUUGCUUUUACAUUUGAAAAUGGAAAGCUAACA